rnacentral:misc_RNA from 1 species
GAUGAAGAACGCAGCGAAAUGCGAUAAGUAAUGUGAAUUGCAGAAUUCAGUGAAUCAUCGAAUCUUUGAACGCACCUUGCGCCCUUUGGCUAUUCCGAAGGGCAUGCCUGUUUGAGUAUCAUGAACACCUCAACUCUCAUGGUUUGCCAUGAUGAGCUUGGACUCUGGGGGUCUUGCUGGCCUAUGGUCAGCUCCUCUCAAAUAAAUCAGCUUGCCAGUGUUUGGUGGCAUCACAGGUGUGAUAACUAUCUACGCUUGUGGUUUUCCAUCAGGUAACCUUCAGUGAUGGAGGUUCGCUGGAGCUCAUAAAUGUCCCUCCUCAGCGAGGACAGCUUUUUGAACGUUUGAUCUCAAAUCAGGUAGGACUACCCGCUGAACUUAAGCAUAUCAAUAAGCGGGGA